GUAUGAAUUAUUAUAUGAUUGUGCUUUUUUCUGCUGAAUGAUCAAUCAUAUUCAUAUUGAUUGAUUUCACCUGCGGCAACAUGUAACUCCCCUGUAACGAAAGCCUUAUGCCAUGGAGUCCGUCGGCAUGGAGCGCCUGCAACUUCAUGGGAACAACCAGCACCAAAGAGGUGCACUCUUUAAUUUGGCGGCUUGGUUCUCAGUGGUUGAAAGAUUGUCUACCGAUUAUGUGUUCAUCUCCUACUGUUAAGUACAUGACCACAAUAAAAAUCAUGGAAUCGCAAUGUUCUGUAUGUGUUGCAGCACCAUGGAUUGCCUUACUUACAUGAGCAUUGAUGCUAGCUGGUGUAACGGGAUUGUUUUGCUUACAUGAGCGCUGAUGCAACUUGGUGUAACGGGUACAAUGGGUUCAUUACUUUAGUUUUGAGAUUUGGAAGAGGGUCACUCAACAAAAGGCGUUCCCAAGGAAGCAAGUACUGUGAUAUGCCUAUGUGAGCAAUCCAGUGGAUUAUUGUUCUUGAUCUAAUUUCAGGUCUGUCUGCCCUAGGUACCGGAGGAUAAAGCCCAGGAAAUGAUUACAGAGGCAGUAAAAAAGUUGGUAUUGUGCUUGUAUGAAAUUGCACCUUCUAUAUGCAUGCUUGUUUUAAAGAUACUGCUAUGCUAACUGACAAUAUUUAAUUACUUCAGAGUAUAAAACCCAGAUUAUGUGAUCAGUAUAUCAGGAAGAAGAUAGACAUUGCCCGAGCUAUCAUACUGAUUACUGUGGUAGUCUAUCCUAAUCUUUGUUUGUAAUUGUGCAUAAGGUUGAUAUCUUCUCUGUUUAUGGUAAUCAAAUUAUUUUUGCCUAUAAACUACUGUACGUACAUGAUUGCUGAAAAGUAUUUACUGCAAAGAUAAAACAUAUAGCCAAACAAUCAUAGAGAUACGUGGUAUUAGAGCUUCUAAGUAAUGUAACUAUUAUGAUUGUAAACCUAUCUCCUUUUCCAGAUAUGCAUGUUAGAGAAACUCAUUUUUCUGAUAUUUAAAAGCUACUCCCUCUGUCCCAUAAUAUAAGAGUGUUUUUUAUAUUAUGGGAUGGAGGGAGUAUCUUCAUGUUCAUUAUAGGUGCAAGAUGGCUGCAAUAAUCUCCAUCCAGAACAAUGGUUGGUGUGUUUGUUCUUUGGUUAUAUAGGAUUGUACACUUGAAACAAUGUAAUGUGAACUAACAAGGUGGUUCCUGCUUUAUAUAAGAUAUCCUUCCCACAUUUUUAAAACCUUGAUGUACUAUCACUAAACCUAUGGUCCUUCGGCUAGAGUCGGUUCGAAUGGAUCUUAAGUAACUUCCAUGUUUUGUGUCAUCAUAUAUGUAUGAAUUUUCCUAUCAAUCCAUUGACAAAAUAGACGGGCACGUACCACAUUAUUUCACUAGAAAACAAUAAAAUCCACCCAUUCAACUAACCAAUGAAUGAGUUGGUUUAUGUAAAAGUAACGGUUAUGUUUUAUGUCACCAUAUAUCUAAGAAUUUUUCUAUAAAUCUAUUGACAAAAUAGACGGACACAACAACGAACGCUAUCAUGAUCUAAGGAUGGGACUAUAUAUUGUUGGUGCUAUAACACAUCAUCUCUUUUAGCAGUGUUGUGUUCUCAUGUCUUCCUAGAAAUAAUUUAACAUUAGAUCGUCAUACAAGUUUUAAAUUUGAUAGCUGGUAAUAUCCCAUAACUUAACUUAUCUAUAGUUAAAGUGAUUUCUAAAGUACACCAAUGUUAAAUUAUGAGCUUGUGAGUAAAGUUAUUAUGGACAAAUGGCACAUAUAUUUACAAACUCCUACCAUUUUAUGGUGAAAAUGGAUGAGCGCAGCAAUGCGCGCCGUCGAAGAUCUAGUGGACGUUGAUGAUCGCUUGGCAUAACAUGUACAAGGAGCAAAUUUUAGAAUUCCACACAAGAUUUCGUACUCGCUUUUGCAUGCAUUUUUGUUUGUCAUUUGAGCUUUUUAUUCAUCUGAAUGGUGAUGCAGGCAGACAUGGCGGAUGUAAGUCAUGAGUCAAUGUUGGGGUACUCUUAUAUUGCCAACAAGAUGUUUGAUAGUGAGGAUGAAGGUUAUAUAUUCUAUAAAAAAUAUGGUCUUGAGAAAGGUUUUAGUGUCCGGAGAAGCUAUGUUGAGUGGGAUGGAUCCAUUAAGGAAAAUUGUGUGUAGUCGUGAAGGGGUUCAUGAAGAGAAGCACAUGAAGAGGAAGAUGGAAGAUAGAAAGAGGAGGCCACGAAGUAUAACUCAUGUAGGGUGUAAAGCUAAAUUGGUGAUUGCAAGACAAGAGGAAACAUGUCAGUGGUUUGUGAAGGAUUUCAUCGAUGAACACAACCAUCCUCUAGCCCCACGGGGUCUUUCGUGUCUUUUGAGUUCACACAAAAGAAUUAGCGAUGAGCAAAAAACGGACAUUGCAGAAAUGGAAAAAUCUGGGAUCAGGAAACACCAUAUUAUGGAUAUUUUGUGCAUGCAAUACAGUGGAUAUGAUGAGGUUGGAUGCACGACGAGGGACAUUUACAAUUUCUGCCAUGCUAACAAGCAGGAAUCAAUCGCUUCCGGUGAUCAAUCACAUGGUGGCGCGGCGAGAGCAAGAUUCAGAUUUUUUUUCUUCAGCUACUUGGUUGAUGAUGUUGGCCAUCUAAAGGGACUUUUCUGGUGUGAUAGUCAACCCCGACUUGAAUACGAGGCUUUUGGAGACAUUAUUGUUUUUGAUAGCACAUAUAGAACCAAUAAGUACAAUCUGCCAUUUAUGUCAUUUGUCAAGUUGAGUCACCACCGCGGCACUGUUAUUUUUGGAUGUGGUAUCAUUUCUCAUGAAACAAGCCAGGCAUACGAGUGGAUGUUACAGACCUCUUCUGAUGCCAUGGGAUAGAAGCAUCUGAUAUCUGUGAUCACGGAUGGAGACCUUGCAUUGAGAGAGCAAUCAGGGUGGUGUGGCCUGACUCAAACCAUAGGCUGUGUAUAUGGCACAUUCAGUCAUUUGCAUGAUGAGGCGCAAAGGAGGAAUUCAGAUCUUCCAUAUAUG